GACGAACGCUGGCGGCGUGCUUAACACAUGCAAGUCGAACGGUGAAGCUCCAGCUUUCUGGAGUGGAUCAGUGGCGAACGGGUGAGUAACACGUGAGCAACCUGCCCCUGACUCUGGAAUAAGCGCUGGAAACGGCGUCUAAUACUGGAUACGAGAAGGGUCCGCAUGGGCACUUUCUGGAAAGUUUUUCGGUUGGGGAUGGGCUCGCGGCCUAUCAGCUUGUUGGUGAGGUAAUGGCUCACCAAGGCGACGACGGGUAGCCGGCCUGAGAGGGCGACCGGCCACACUGGGACUGAGACACGGCCCAGACUCCUACGGGAGGCAGCAGUGGGGAAUAUUGCACAAUGGGCGAAAGCCUGAUGCAGCGACGCCGCGUGGGGGAUGACGGCCUUCGGGUUGUAAACCUCUUUCAGCAGGGAAGAAGCGAAAGUGCCGGUACCAGCAGAAGAAGCACCGGCUAACUACGU
rnacentral:rRNA from 1 species